GGUGUAUGGAAUCUGUGAAUUCCACCAGUGCCCUUAAAUUCCACAAACCAAGUGAGGUUCCAGAGUACCCUGCAGCAAACUUGGAUCAGAGAACAGCUAUUUACUGAAUCUUUUCUAAAUGUUUCUUGCAAGAGUGUUCUGAAAAACACGGAGUCAUUUCAGUCAAUGAGUUGUUGUUCUCCCCCUCACCACAUUUCUGUGGUCACUGUCACCAGUGGAAAUCACAAGCUCGUUAUCAUUACUUGAACUGGCCUACACCAAUUCCCUUGAUCCAGUGGACUGAUGAUCAUUAGUAUCCUGCUUUCUUCAUGCCCCAGUCAAGGUAGAAUGGGAAAAUACAGUUUUCUGCUCUCUGUGAAAAGAGCACAUGUUCAGAAAGAACCUGACUUUUGCUCUGGCCUGGAUGUAUAGAAGUAGUUUUGUAUUCAAGAAUCAGCUGUUGAAGCCUACAAGUUAUGCAGGUCCAGUGAAUUCAGUGGAGAUCCUUCUGACUGACAGCAGCAUCCAGGCACCUACUGACACAGAAUCCUAGUGAAGAGACAUGGGGAGUUAAACCAAUACAGAUCUGACAACCUGUAAGACUGGACAG